rnacentral:rRNA from 1 species
CGGGAUAACUAUUGGAAACGAUAGCUAAUACCGCAUAAGAGUAGAUGUUGCAUGACAUUUGCUUAAAAGGUGCAAUUGCAUCACUACCAGAUGGACCUGCGUUGUAUUAGCUAGUUGGUGGGGUGACGGCUCACCAAGGCGACGAUACAUAGCCGACCUGAGAGGGUGAUCGGCCACACUGGGACUGAGACACGGCCCAGACUCCUACGGGAGGCAGCAGGC